rnacentral:lncRNA from 1 species
CAAAACUCUCGUUGAGACACAGGGCCUAAAGUCUAAACAUAUAAAGACUGCUUUGUUUUCACUUUUCACCUUUGGUUAUCUUUCCAUAUUCGGAAUCCGGUUUAAGAAUCAUUUAGGUUUGAUUGAUCGUCUAUGCAAAGUGAAUCUCCCAUCUGAAAGAUCUCUUUCUUCAUGGGAGACUCUGGUGAUCCUUUCAUGCGGUAAACAAAAACACCGUCGUUCAGGCACGC